AAAAAAAGCAAACAGGAAUUUCGUAUUAACUUUGAUUGUCCAUCUUAUAUAAAAUUCUUUUAUAAUUUAUAUUUCUAUUAUUGUUAGAUGAUAAAACAUGAUUAAUAUUUUAUACGUGACUUGUCUUUUUAAUUUUUUUAAAUAAGAUGGACGGUUAAGAUACGAAACCAGGCU
rnacentral:pre_miRNA from 1 species